UGAGUUCAGUGUUUCCAGGAGGUGAUCACACCAUCAACAGAACACUGGAAUGCACCGUGGUAACAGCAGAAACACCAUCACACAGCCAUCUUACAUAGGGCACUGUGGCUGAGCUGACACUUUAAAUGAAACUUAAAGGAUGACUAAAAUUCACCCAAAGGACAGCAAGGACAUCCCAGGCAGAAGAGAUAACAUAUAAGCACAGGUUCGGGGGUGGAAAACAUCGUGUCAUGGCCUGUGUGUGUGUGUGUGUGUGUGUGUGAUUCUGUCUCCGUAAUGAGAAAGCAUCAGAGUGGGUAUGGUUCCGGGAGACUUUACUGAAUGGCAUGGGCACAGGCCCACUAACCUAAGCAGGCCAUAAAAGAAUUCUCUGAGCUUCCUCUAAAGUAGGUCAUAAGGCCCUCGUUCCAUGGGUGAGGAAAAGAUAUGACCUUCCCUCCCCUACAUUGUUAUUGUGGGGUGUGACUUCUAUACAUGAAGCAAGGCCAGCGACAUCCUACAUCAUACAUCGGUCUUAGGAUUCAAAGGUUUACCUUAACAAUCCGGAAAGAAAUUUAAAAAUGAUUCCUGCAUAAUAAAUUAGACUUUAGUGAGUGUUUUAAACACAUACACCCCUACUAAAGGAUUUGCAGAUACCUUUGCUGACCCUGGAGGGAAGAAUUACCUUGUCCACAGUUCUCCUGUGUAGUGACUUGAGGGGCACUUGCCUACUGGGGGCCAACCCAGGGCUCAGAAGGAAUGACUGGAAAUCUUGUUAAGAUGAAGAUUCUGAUUCAGUGGGCCAAGAUUUAUCAUUUCUAACAAGCUCCAAGGUGACGCCAGUGCUGCCGGUCUACAGACCACACUUGAAUAUUGAGAUCUAAUCCACUCGCUCCCCGCCCUGCCCCCCAGUCUUGAUGGCACAGCAACUGAGAUGAACCAUAGGGAUCCACUGCCCUCAACUCUGUGGCCAGUGGUGCAGAGGCUGCUGGAAGACUGUCCAAAUUCUCCCUGCACCCGAGGCACAGGGUCCCAUCCAGCAGGAGUCCAGCCAGGCCCUCAGGGCUGGCAGAGAGCUGACUAUGGAGGGAGCCUCCCUGCCAAAAGAGUCUCCGCCUGGAGUUGAAAGACCCACUCUGCUCCUCACUGAUGUGCUCUCAGUCUCCUCAUCUGUGAAAUGGAGACAAUCAAAUCACACCUGUGCUGCCCACCUCAGGAUCAUUGCUGCGAGGACUGAGCAAGAUGACGCGUGUGAAAGAGGGGCAAAACUGCCAAGUCCUCCACACAUAGAAGUCAUGCUGACUCUGCAGACAUCUCGCCAUUC
rnacentral:lncRNA from 1 species